rnacentral:lncRNA from 1 species
CUAAGCACUCGGGACAGUAGCAGUAAUCUCUCUCAUUAUCAAAAUGAAACAAAGCAAUGGAAACAAGAGGUUGUAGAUUUUCUUUUGGGUGCUUUAGAUUUUGGCCCUUACAUAUAAACGUCCAAUAAAAACCCAAAUUUAAAAUCUGCAGCCACAUCGGAACACUAUUGACCUACUAAUACAAUUUAUUUACACACAUGCCACUUUCCCAAAUCCCUAAAUUUAUUCCAAAUUAAAAGUUGUAGAAAAAGUGAAAUAAAAUAUAUAAAUUGUUGUAUUACAUUAAUUGUAUCAAUAUCAUAGCAAAAAUUUACCUUUUUUUGUUAUAUAUAUUGCAUUAAUUCAGAAGUAAAUUAAUUUGUUCCAAUUAUUAAAAAAAAUUAUACUAAAUCCGUAUUAUAUAUUUUGAAUCAAAUAACACUUCUCUAACUUGUAGAUAAAUUAUUUUUCAUGUAUUGUUACAUAUAUUAGGCACAUUUUAUUGUUGUAUAAAUAUAGGUAUGACAUAAUAUUUUUCAAUAUAAUACAUCAAAAUUAUAUUUCUUCUUGUUGUGGGUAAAUUAUUAGGAAAACUAACGAAAAAUCAAAAAAAAAAAAACUUCUCUUUUAACGAAAAACUCUUUUUAAAGGUAUAGUUAAUAAUUCCAAUUAAAGGUUAAAAUGUGAUUUUUCGUUAAAAGUGAACAUUACCGGGAGUGUUUUUUUAAAACUCCCUAAAUUAUUCUCCAUGUAUUAGUGAAAAAAAAAAGAUAUUAUAUUACACACGCAGUAUAAUUUUUUGUAGGUAGAUUAUUGGAAAUUAAUUUAUAGGUAGGUAAAUGAAUUUGUUCCAAU